GUAGGGGUGGCAAUUUCUCAACUUGGACCGGAUCCGAUCCGGAUCCAUGUGGAUCGGAUUCAAAAGGAUCCGGAUCCAAUAUCAAUCUAUAUGAAUAGAUUUAAUGUGGAUCGAAUUUAGACCGAUCCGGAUUGGAUCCAAAUGGAUCCAUUUCAUUUUUAAUUCAAUUUAUGAGGUUGAAUAUCUCAACUUUUAGGAUUUAAUAUCUCAAUUUAUGUAGUUUAAUAUCUCAACUUUUAGGAUUUAAUAUCUCAACUUUUAGGAUUUAAUAUCUCAAUUUAUGUGGUUUAAUAAUUAAUAUCUAAACUUUCAAACUCACACAUAUUCACACACACUUUUCAUACACAGUUACACACUAUCACACACACGCACACACUCAUAUACACACACUGUUUAACACACACACCCCAUUUUACACACACACACACACUCUGUUUUACACACACACACACACUGUUUUACACACACACACACACACACUGUUUUACACACACACACACACAUUGUUUAACACACACACACACACUCACAUACACACACUGUUUUACACACACACACACACACACUCACAUGCACACACAGCUUCUACACACACUCACAUACACACACUGUUUACACACACACACACACACACUCUGUUUUACAGACACACACACACACACACUGUUUUACACACACACACACUCGCAUACACACACAAUUUCUACACACACACACACACUAUUUUACGCGCACACACACACACACACUGUUUUACACACACACACACACACACUGUUUUACACACACACUGUUUUAUACACACACACACUAUUUUACGCACGCACACACACACACAUACUCACAUGCACACACAAUUUCCACACACACAGACACACUGUUUUACACACAUACACACACUCACAUGCACACACAACUUCUACACACACUCACAUACACACACUGUUUACACACACACACACACUCUGUUUUACAGACACACACACACACACACACACACACUGUUUUACACACACACACACACACACACUGUUUUACAUCAUUCUCCAUCUAUUUCAAUCUAUAUCAAAGUGUGUAAAGACUAAAGACCAUAACUUUACAAUAAACUCCAAACCAAGAAUCACCUGGAAUGAUCUUGACACCUGAAAAUAAGAUAUUUGUCAUGUUUUUUGAACAAAAAAAUAUUAAAAUAAGAUCAUUAAUUUAACAGCCCUAAUUUUUUCAUCAGAAGUAAUAAUAGCACUUGAGUUGGAAAUAUAUGAUCUGCAGCAUAAUAGUUCUAAUAAAAUAAAUAAAUUAAUAAAUAAAUAGUAGAAAAAAAUAAUAAUUGCUAAACAAAUAUAAAAUAAAAAAUUACCUCGGAAUGAUUCCCCGGAGUUGGCUCCGACUUGCUUCUCCUCAGUUCCUUAACAUUUUCCGACGGUCUCCGCGGCCUCAAACCACCGGAAGGCCUUAUUUUCCGGCGGGAAGGCGACGGCGAAGGUCUUGGCGGCGAGCGGCGUGCGGCGGCGGCGAGCGGAGUGGAGGCUGUUCACGGCGGCGAGCGGAGUGGAGGCUGUUCACGGCGGUGAGUGGAGUGCAGGUUGUUGACGGCGGCGAGCGGAGUGGAGGUUGUAGACGGCGGCGGUCGGCGAGGAGCGGUAUACGGCGGCGAGGAACGGCGAUGGAGGUGGGGAAUGGCGAUGGGUUGAGAAAUUUUUGGGGUGAAAU
rnacentral:lncRNA from 1 species